UUCUUUCUUUCUAGAAUCUACAAUUGGAACGGUCCAAAACAAUCGAUAAUAAUAAAGGUAAUUUUAUAAGACAUAAUUAAUGUCUUUUUCUAAAUUGUAUAACCAACCUGAAAGAUACCAAUGGAGAUAGUGUAUUGUUGUCCAUUUGUGGAGGACAAAGGUUCAAUGACUGCGCCAAUUGCGACACUUGGGUUCGUUUGAACGAACCCACUACAAGUUAGAUCAAAGCAGCCUGUGGUUUUGUAAGAGUCCACCUAAUCCAAUUUACAAAACUUUGUGAUUACACAUUCUUGAUUAACCUCGGUUAUUAUAUGUCAAAUAAAAAGGAGAGAGGAUACAUAAUUGAUUAGCUUAAUCUUACGGUCCAAUAGAGACUUAAUCGAGUUUUUGCAUCUCCAUAUAACUUGGGAUUUACCUGUACCAAGCAAAUAUAAAUACUAAAUACUUUUUACUUUGUUAAUGUUAAAUAUUAUUACGAGAUUUUAAUUGUAAUUGUAAUAUAAUAUAAAACGAACCAUCCAGCCUGCUUCUACACUUUCAAAUUUCUCAGAAGGUCCAUUUUUUAACCAAACUUUAGAAGCUGUGAAGUCAUUAGGUAAAUCAACUUUAGGGUUCCAAACAUUGAUAUUUCCUGAAGCUCCAAUGUAAUUAACUCCCGUUGUGAUCAAGAUAGCUGUCUAAUGAUAUCAUAUUUAACACAAAACAAAGAAGCAAAUUAAUCCAUUAAAUUAUGAAUCCAUAAUAAAUGAAUGAAUGAACUUUCAAUUAUUUAUAGAUAUACAUACGGAACGAUUGAAUUCUUGGCCGAGUUUGGAAUCUCCAUAAGGAAAUUUCUUGCCAAAGUGAUGGAGAGAAUUGGCUCUCAAUAGGUCUUCUCUACCAACCCUCCGAAUGGGAAUUGUUCCUUUGGGACAACUCCCACUUUUUUGCCAUGUUUGAAAUGGAUACAAUCUCGAUCCAAAUGAUUCAUUUUGUGUACUCGACAUCUUCAAAUCUAUGCUCAAAUCAGGUUUCAUCUACAUUCAAUUUACAGUAUUCAUUUGAAUAAUCGAUUCACUUCCAUUUAAAAUGGCAAUGAAACAUAAAUUUUUAUUUUUGAACUUUGAAGUUUGAAAUUUUUAUUUCUGUUUUUUUUUUUUAAAAAAAAUAGAAACAAUUAUUAAACACAUUCAAGUCUUUUGUUCUAAAAGAAGAAAGAACAGAAAACCAAGAACAAAGAACAAGAAACAGGGAACGAGAACGUUACCAAAGGGCUCUAUAUGUCUACAAACUAAUAAAGAAUGUUAGGCAAAUUUAGGUCACUCCCAAUUAAAUUUAUAUCCUAUCUUAAAUGUAAAUAAUUAAAGUUAUAUAUAUAUACGGUAUUGAGUGUUUACCUAAUAUAAACAUUGUGGUUGUAUGUUUGGAAGGUCAAUUUUUUUUAGUUUAAAUGAUUUAUAAUUAAACAUCAAGUUUAUAUGUAAAGAGGUAUCAAAAGAUAUACAAAAAGAGAACCUGAAUGGUAUGGUUUUUAAGCAAUGGAUGGUCGAAAGCAGGUUGUUUGUAAACAUCAACACAUUCCAUAAUAUCUCCAUCUUCACUCUGCAAAAUAAUUACAAAUCAACUAAAACAAUCAUUUAUUUAUUUAUUUAUUUAUUUCUACUAAUACAUAAAAAUAUUAAAAAUAAAACAAUAUAACAAAAUGAUAAAUAUUAUAUUUACAUAAAUGGUUUUGAUGGAAGGCUUAUUUAGAAGCUUCAACUUAUUCUCAAUCUGCAGCAAAGACAGAUUCAUCUCCACAUUGGUUGCAUUUACAUUGACAAUGGCAACACCAACAACCAAACCCACCAUUGCUAAAACCAUCACUACUUCAUCAUUUCUCUUCCCCAUUUUUUAACCCAAACACACACAAAACCCAAUUGAAAAGUUUCAAACUUGUUUUUUUUCCCCUUUGAAAAAUAGAACAAAGAGUUCAUAUAUAUACAUACACAUGAAUAUUUCUCUGCCAUGUAAUCGAAAGCCAUAUAUGCAUAGAGUCCCUUGUGGAAGUUAAAAGUGAGUAAGGCUAUGAUAAAAACUAAUUAAUGGAUAGACCAUAUAUGGCUAAAUAGGAAAUGCCAGCAAAGUUUCUAUUUGAGUGAUUGGGAAUUUAAACUUGGUAACUCCUUUUAUAUAUUAUGUCUCUUUCUCUCAUUUUUCUACCUUCUAUCCUAAUAAGUAUUUAUUAUCCAAUUGUGUUAGACUUUUUUUUUCUUUCUUGUUUUUGAGGAAUAUGAAAUUAGUUUUAUUUUUAUUUAAAGAAAGAUAAAAUAUCUUCCUUUAUAAAUAUCUUUUAAAAAGAAGUUAAAAGAUCUUUCUUAAUUGUCUCGAAGAUAAAAUAUGUUCCUUGUAUUUAGGAAUAUUUUAUUAUAAAUAAGUUCUUCCUUUUCGGCUCUCUAAAAAGUAAAAGUUCUCUUUAACAUAAAAUCCAUUCUUCAUAGUUGUUAUUCAAAAGUUUAUAUCUUUGGUAAAAAAUUCUUGAUAUCUUCUUUAGUGCUUUUAGUGUAUACGAGAUAAGAGAUUUAAAAAAGAUCUUGAAGAUUUGAUAAAGUCUUUAAAUUGUGAAGCUUCUAGCAAGUUUUUGUGUGCAGAUUACUGGAUUUCUACAGUAUGACAAAUUAUUGAGGGUCGUCAAGUGAUUUAACAGAGUAUCGAAUUUGGCUGAGAUAAUUGUACUGCCCUAAAUGAAUUAAAGGAAACCUGAAUUUAUUUUAAGUUACUUUGAUAACUUAUCAAAUGCAUUUUGAAUCUCAUUAAUAUUUCUUAUCUGAACAAAUAAGCUCCCUAGAUGUAGGUCGUAGUUGAACCGAGUUAUGGUGAGAAACAAAGUGGGUUUGAAGUUCAAAGAAGCUUGGGCCUAUUAGAGCCCGAUUGGUACAAGCUAGGUCAAAUAUAGUACAUAAUGGGCAACCACAAUAUUUGAAUUUUGGGAAGAAAGCUACAACAUCCUUUCAUUCUUUGGUAUCAUUGCAAUAUAUGUUGAAGUUGAACUAAAAAUAAAAAUAGGGAAAUCGCAUUGUAUACACAAAAUAAAAAUUAAAUUAUGAUUCCUCGGGAGUUUUUGUGAGUUGGUUGAGUUCGAGUACUUUUAGACUCAAACUAAUUGUUCGAAUUGUACAUUUCUUUCAUUCAAAUAACUCUUGUUAAAUAGCAAAUCUAGUAGGAAUUGAACCCUAUGAAUUCGCCAAUUCUAAGUUGGACCCUUUAACCAUUCAUCCAUGGAUGCUUAGUGGGAAUUCUCGUAUAUGGUGAAUAACGAAAUUCCAAUUAAAAUGAAAUCUUCAGGAUAAAUCAAUGCAAUUUAGGAGGACGGAUUUUAGAAUGAAGAGAGAUUAAGAAUUCUCAUUAUUUCUUACAUUCAUGAACCCAAUUCAAUUCAUUGGGAUUUUUCAUUCACUUUUUUUUUCUUUUUUUUUAAUCAAGAAUGUUUUAUAUGAAUUUUUGACUCACGUCUUCCUCUCUUUGAAAUAAGAGAUACUUCUAGUUUUGUUAUUGCUUAAGAUAAUUUAGUCUUCUCCAUAUUACUAUAUCUCCAGAGUCAAUAAUAUUAUAUGAGAAAUUACUGAACUCAAUCACUUGUUGUCGUUACUCUUUAAUUUACUGUUGAGAUCUAUCAUGUGAAGGUACUCAAAUUGGAUCAGUGAUCGAUCUCUAGGUUUCAUCGUAAACCUAAUUGGUUAUUUCCAAUUAUGUAAAUCAAUAUUUCAAACUGCACUCAAAGGUAAGACAUUUCCAAUUUUUAAUUUUUUAUAGGAACUUCGGUACAAAAAACAAUGGUAUCUCUAAUUAGAGCUCCUCUGAGAUGUAAAAUAUAUAUUUUCUCACCAUUCCAUAGUGUAUGAGACAAAUGUAUGCAUUUUGAUUAUGAUCGUAUUCUAUAAUUACCAUUCUACUAUGUUUCUUUAAAAAUAUUGUUUUCAUGCUUUAAAAUAACUUAAGAAUAUAUGGAGAAAUGAGACAAACAAAUGAGCUAAAUUUAAAAUUUUCUAACCAUUUAUAAAAUGUCAUAUUGAACAACUCUCUAAAAUUUAAAAUAAUUUCGAAAAUGAAUGUAUGAAAAGCCUAUAAAAUUAUUUUAAAAUUUUAAAAUUAUUAGAAGGGAAUCAAUAUGGAUUAAAAAAUAAAAAGAAACGAUAAGAUGAUGCUAAAUUUUUUCUAAGAUAAAAUAUGAAUAUUAUUUACAAUUUCCGCUUCUAUUACUAAUACAAAUAGACUUUAUUGUUAAUAGAAGUUUAUAACGUUCAAAAAAGUAAGAUAUGGUCUAUCAUUAGUAGAUUUUGUUAUAUUUUUUUAAUUCAUUAAAAUGUUGUAAUACAAUAAAAUGGUGGAUUAACCUAAAAGUAGUAUUAAUUUCAUUUACUCAGUUGUUUAACGGUUAAAAAAUAAUUGAAUUUUCUUUAAACAAAAGAAGGAAAAUAACAAGUUAUUCAAUUUUUAACUUUAUAAUAAUCAAAUUGUUGUGAAAACCGAGUACAAAAAUGAGAAAAUCUAAUAUUAAAAUAAUAAAUAAAUGAUAAAAUAAAGAAAUAAGAAAAUUAAAACUUCUCCACCUUCUUCAACUAAUUUAGAAACGGUAGCAUCUUACAAUUCCAUCAUAUUCUACUUUUUAUAAGCAAUUUGACAAACAUGAGAUAAAUUACAUGACCACUAUUGAUAGAAAGACAUGUGACUAUUGUCAUUCAACACAACAUCGACUUAAUAGUAUUUGUAAUAUAAAUGUUAUCGUAAUAUUACUAAUGUAUGGGAGAGUAGAAUUGAGAGUAUAUGGACUUAUAAGUAAAAAGAAAACGUAUGAGUGUCAAUUUAAUGUUUCACAAUAAUAAUUAAAUAUAGUUUGCAAAAUCAUCCAAUAAUUUAUUUCAAAAGAAAAGUCAACCAAUAAUCAUAUGUAUAUAAAUAAAACAAAUAACCAUUAGAUUAGAGCUUGCAUAAAUAACAUUUAAGUCGAGAAGAAUAAUAAUAAUAAAUUAUCAAAAUAGAAUAUUGGAUAAUUAUUUACCCUUCGUAAAAAAGAAUAUAAUUAAUUUUCUCUUUUACUAAAACCGAAAUAAUUUGUUAAUUGUUUUUAUGUUUGGAAAAACACUAUAUAUAUAUAUAUUUUAAAAUAUUGAUGGUGCUAUAUAUAUUUUAAAAUAUUGAUGUACAUUUAUUAAUUAUCCUAAAAUAAGUUUUUUUUUAAGAAAAUAACAAAGUAAAAACUAACUAUUUACCUUGGGGAAAAAAUCAAUCAAGACAAAAGUUUAUCAUAUUUUUUUCUAUGAAAUGUAGAUAUUUUAUUCAUUUCACAUUAAAAAUCGUAUAAAACAAAUUAGUUGUAAGGUUGAAUACUUUACCUUAUUUGAUUUCUUUCGUGUGGUUGUUAUUGACAUUUUAAAAUGAUAGUAUUGAAUGACUCAUUUAUUUCAAUAUGAAUGAUUCAUUUAUUGUAGUGUACUAUAUGCCAAAUUAGAAAAAAAAAAUCCAUAAGUUAUACAAUGGUUUUCUUUUUCCAAAAACAAAAAAGAUGAAAAUAAAAUGUAUUUUGAUGCAAUAAGUUGACUGAUUGCCAUUUAAACCUUCCUUGAAUGCUUAAUUAUACAUUGAACUAACUCUUUUUGAUGUACUAAUGGUUGCCAAAAUCAUUAAUUAAACAAACUUUAUUGGAAAAAGAAAACUUCCAAUUUUAUACUCUAAAUUUUGAAGUUUGAUUAAUUAAAUUCUUAAAUUCUUCUAAAAAGUUAAAAUCCUAAUUAAUAAAUGUAUCGAAAUAUUAUAAAUUUUGAUACUCGUUAAUUUAUAAUAAUUUUAUUUUCGUUUCAUUUAAAAUUAAAUCUAACUCAUUUAAAUAAAUUUAUAGGAAUCAAAAUUUUCAAAAUUUUAAAUUUUAUUAAUGAUAAAAAUCUAAAAUUUUGAUAUAUGCUAUUUGUCAAAUUUGCUAUUUUUGAUCAUUUUCGAGUUAAGCAGGAUAUAGAAAUAUGAAUUUAGAUUUAUGAAUUUAUUGAAGCAAUGCAAAAGGUAGAUGUUAAUAAAGUUUAAUAAGUGAAUGAAAAUAAAUAUGUAUAAGAUGAGAAAGAUUUGAAGGCGUAGAGAAUUCAUAUUUGAUUGGGCGAAGAAAGCAAAGGAAAUGGUAAAAGUAAGCAAAGAGAGAAUAAAUUUUUAAAAGUAAAGUGAAAGAGUGUGGAGUUUGUUUUGAUUUUGAUUUUGUUUCGUGUUGGGAACAAGAGUUCGAUUCAAAAGCAAACUGAGAGCCGUAGUCGUAACUGACAUUCGCCAUUCUUCCCAAUCUGAGUGGCCGCAGAUUAUGGAAACCAAAAACAUUCUUCAAAUUCCUCAGAUCAAAUUUCUUGUUUCUUCAUUCUCUCAACCAUUUCAUUCCUUCCUCUCACUCUCGUAAACAUCCACUUCCAACUCCUUUACACUCUUCUUCUUCUUCUUCAUCGAUUCACCGCCAAAUUCUUCAACUGGUUCUUUUUCAAAAUGGGGUCUUCUUCAAAACCCACCAUGCAAAACUUUUCCUUUUGCUUCUCUCCAUGUUUUCUUUAACUUCAUCAAUAUCUUUUCAGUUUUUUCCGAGAUUCCAACAUUUCAGCCAUUUCCCGCUUUCAUCGCCUCCUUCAGAUGAAAAUCAGGAUUUCUGGUGGUUUGUUCGUUGGAACAAAACCCGAUCACCGGAAUAGAUUUGAAGGGUAGCGAUACUCUUAGAUUUUGGCUUACCCAGAAAGGGGUUGUUUUGUUUCGAUUUUAAUUGAAGAUGCAAUCGAAAGUUCUGCCUCUGGAAGAAGGGAAAGACCAUGUACCUUUAAACCGGACCAACCAAGCUAGGCCGUUGCCCCUUAGGUUACUUCAGUUAUUCGUGUUGUUUUUGGUUCUUUGUGUUGCGUUCUCAGUUGUUAGUUUGUAUACGAUCCGUCGUUUUGGGGUUGACAGUGCUCUGAUGACGGUUAAGUCCAAUUUCCUUCCUUGUUUGGAGGAAUUCAAUAUUAGUUUGAGUGAGUGGAUUAAGCCUUCGGUGAAUUUGAUGCAUUCAAUGACGGAUGAGGAGUUGUUUUGGAGAGCAUCGUUUUCACCUCAGAUUAAGAAUUACCCUUUUGAAAGGGUUCCCAAAAUUGCUUUUAUGUUCUUGACUAAAGGUCCAUUGCCGUUUGCCCCACUUUGGGAGAGAUUUCUGAGAGGACAUCAUGCCCUCUUUUCAAUUUACAUUCACUCUCUGCCAUCAUUCAAACCCAAUUUCUCUCACGCUUCUGUGUUUCAUGGGAGACAAAUUCCUAGCCAGGUACGUUUUGGUUUCUUUCUGUUGUACAUUAGUACCACCAAUGAAGUAAUUUGGUUUUGCUUUCGUCAAUCAUUGCUUUAUAAGCUCUUUUGAGAAUCAGUUUGUUGUUCCACAUUGUUCCUUGAACUACUGAUGGUUUUGUUCCCUUAUGAAAUUAGUUGAAACUAGUUCUAUUCCCUUGUUUCUAACAUGUUAAAAAUGGUCUGAAUGAUGCUUGAAUGGGCUUGUGAUUUACAUUAGAAUGGUAAAGCGGAUUAUGAGUAAACCAUAAUAUUUGCUUAUUGGCUUGAACAAGAGGAGUGUUGAGACUUGUCUUAACAUAUGGUAUUAACAGGUUUCACAUUCAAUAGGAAAAGUCAUUUUGAAUGUGAUGGGCACCUUUGAAAUUUCUAUGUUCAACUCUAGGACUUUUAUUAUGCUAAAAUGUUUUCUCUCCUUAAUUGGUCGACUAAAAUAUUUGGAACUUGUCUGUGUUCUCUCUCUCUCUCUCUCUUCACAUUAUGAUAAACAGAGUAUGUUAACCAUGAUCAAACAUUAAUAACUUUGGUCCAUGUGCUGGCCAUGGUCAUUUUAUUGAUUUUUAAUUUGUGUUAAUCCUCAAUUGUAGUUUACCCAUCAAGCUUUUUGAUGUUAUACAUUUGGGAAUGUUAUGAUGAAUAUCUGUUGAUUCUAUUUUGGCAGGUUGCAGAAUGGGGAAGAAUGAGUAUAUGUGAUGCAGAGAAAAGACUCCUAGCCAAUGCGCUGCUCGACAUCAACAACGAAUGGUUCAUUCUCCUCUCGGAAUCAUGCAUUCCUCUCUUCAAUUUCAGUGUGAUAUACAAAUACCUAAAGGAAUCCAAAUAUAGCUUUGUUGGUUCAUUCGACGACCUUGGACCUUACGGGAGAGGACGAUAUAGGGAUGCCAUGGCACCAGAGGUAAACAUCACAGAAUGGCGAAAAGGUUCCCAAUGGUUUGAAGUAAACCGUAAACUUGCAAUCAGCAUAGUACAAGACACCAAAUUUUAUAAAAAAUUCGAACAAUUCUGUCGACCGCCAUGCUAUGUCGACGAGCAUUAUUUCCCAACAAUGCUCACAAUAGAAGCAGGAGACGUUAUAGCCAACAGAAGCCUCACAUGGGUGGAUUGGUCAAGAGGAGGCCCUCACCCCGCAACAUUUGGACGACGGGACAUUACAGAAGAGUUGUUAGCAAGAAUAGUAAACGGUCAGAACUGCAGUUACAACAAUGGCACCUCCUCCAUUUGCUCUCUAUUUGCAAGAAAAUUCGCACCGAGUUCGUUGCGGCCUUUGUUACGUUUAGCAUUGGAUGUGUUUGGAUAUUGAAGAACACAAUUUGGUUAAAUGGUCAGAAUAGAGAAAGAGGGCAGGAGAGGUUAGUAGAGUUGUAAUCAAUUACAGUACACAAAUAGGCAAACACAUAACACUAAUUCUUUUAGAGUAACUCCAACAAAAAACAAUACAAAAGAAGAAAAUACAUGUAAUAUCUAUCAUUGCAGAGUGGGUUUUGUUUUGAAUGAACAAAAGAUGCUUUGCAGUGAAGAAAUGGAAUAAUGAAAUGAUGUUACUCUAAAAGAGAAGAAAGUGAUGGUGGAAAUGAAUGAAUGAAUGUGGACCUUAUACUGGUUAGUAUAUUUUUUUUGAAGUGGAAGAGCACAUGAAAAGUACUUUUAAAAAAAGAAAAAGGGUCACGCUUGGUUGUUGUGUUAUGUGUACAUUCCAAACCCACAACCCUCCAAAUGCAUACGAUAUAGAUAGAUAGAUAUCUAGAGAAACCAAAACGUGAUUUUUUUAUAAAAGGAAUUAAGCAGAGCUUUGGUUGCUUAUCAAAAGAAAGGAAUGAAUUCUAUUUCAACUUCUUUUAUUAAUAAUAAAUCAUAACUUUUCUCCAAUAUGGAAAUGGAAGAUUUAAUAUCAUUUUUCUCAACAUCAUUUGUGGUACUUAACCGAUAUUUAGUUUAACUACACCCACUCGCAAAUAUAACAAAAUCUAAUAAACCACGAGAGUAUUAGAAGUUUAUUAUUAAUAGAAUUUGUUAUAUUUACAACUUUUUAAAAACGUUUCUAUAUACUUAAUUAUUUAAAAUUUAAUUGCUAUAUUUACAACUAUGGAGUAUUUAUAUUGUCUGGGAGAAUGUUGUGGUGUGAUAUGUUAACCAAAAUUAUAGUUUGAAAUGGUGAAGGACAUUUGAGGGCAUCAUGUGGAGCAUCAAAGAAGGCCCAUAGCAAAGCAUUGAAACCUUAUGGGCCGAAAAUAUGAUAAUAGUGAGGGCCAUAUAGUAAGGGGACACAUCUAGGGAGGUCCCUCCCCUAAUUUAAUACUUGUAUGAUUUUUCCCAUUAAUAAAUAGUAAUUGAAAAUGGGUAAAAUAAUAUUAAAGUAAUGAAAAAAAGGGCAAUAAAAUAUAUUAAAAGAAAUAAGCACAAAACAGAGAAGCAAUAAAAAAGGAGUAAUAAUUCAUAGUGUUGGAAAAUUUUGGAAACCAAAAUACCAAAUCGACUCAACAACACCCUCUUACCUAAUUGCAACCCAAAGCAAGUUUGUGAGUUCCCAUCACGAUUAUCAAACACACAAAAUAACACCAUCUUCAAAAUAGAAUACAAAAACUUUCAAAGACGAAGAAGAUUGAAUGGUUACUCAAAAGAGAAAGAAAGAAAGGAAGGAAGGAAGGAAGGAAGAAUGUGUCUCUAUCAAGUUAGUGUUGCUUGUCUAUUCCACGAAGAAUGUGUUUGUUUUUCUUAAUGUCUUCGUUCUGUUAUUUAGAAAACUAACAAUGCUUAUUUGAUAAGCAAUAAACUUCUUUACAAAUCCAUAAACAAUGCAUGACUUUGUUUAUAGGAAAGAUAAAAGAUGUAUUUUCCAUCCACUUUUAAUAAACCAUCCCUACACUUUUUCUCAACGGGAUAGAGAAAACUUUGGAGGAAAAAUAAUAAGCAAAGAAUAGCAUAGUCCAACUAUGGAGGACCAUAUUCCACCAAGGUUUUGAAUUAGCAUGAAAAACUAAAUUAUCACGGUAACAAAAAUGCAUGAUUUACGACGACAGUUAUUUUAUGUCGUAAAUAAAAUUCAUGACAAUUAUCUACAGUCAUAGUAUCGCAUGUUGUGAAAAGUCCUUUUAUGAUAGUUUUAAAAAAUUGUCACAAUACGCAUUUUCAUGACAGAAAAUAAAUAUCAUUAUUUAAUAUUUUAUGACAACAAAUAACUGUUAUUAUUUGCAUAUUGACGACAGUUACAAAAAUGUCACAAAUUCGUAUAUUUUGACAUUUUUUUCUGUCAAUCGUGACAGUUUUUAUAAAAGUAAAUGUCAUUAUUUUGAUAUUGACGACAGUUACAAAAUGUCACGAAUUCUUAAAUUAUGAAAAAUAAGGUGUCGAAUUGCAUUAAUUCUCCAACUCUCUCUCAUUAAUGUUAUACGCUCACUAAUUUUUCUCUCUCUUUAGUUUUCUCCCAUUAUCCAUGAGCAAAACUUGAGUGGUCAUGUAUCAUAACCCAUCCAUGAAGAAGAAAAUGUCAAUUUUCAUUCCAUCAAACAGAACUCCCAUCAUUAUGUAGAGAAACUAACGAUUAUUAAUGUUUACUGUGUUCAUUAUGCUAUGAGUACCUAAAGCUUUGAUAUACCCUGAAGUGUACUUUUGUAGGCAAGAAGAGAGUGUCCAAGUCCAACUCUCAUAUUCCUUAAAACAUUAGAAUCAGUCAAGUCACGCUACAAAAAAGAUAGAAGUUUUUCAAGUUAAAUACAAUCACAGAAGACCUCCAUGAAAUGAAAAUUUUGACGAGAACAAUGUUUCUUUGAAACUAAAGAAUACAGUUUUUACAUUAUUAAAUUUACUUUUGUGUUAUCUAGUAUAGUUGUAAUACCAUAAAAAUAAAAUAUUAUUGUAUCUCACAAUGGUAAAAAAGAGUUUAACCAUGUAGUCAUGAGUUUCAAUAUGAAAAAGAGAUGUACAAUUAUAUAGUUAGCAAUUUUGCAUAAUAACCAAAUUUAUACACAUAAUGUCCAGUGUAUGUAUGUUCAUUAUAUAUAAUUUUGGAACAUUGCAUCAUUGUCUACUGAAACAAAUUUACAUGCUUAUUCUUCAAAGUCGAUGAAAACCCACAAAGAAAGAAAAGAGUAUACCAUGACGUGGUAGAGUAGCACCAGAGUAAUCCCUAGUAACUAGUUGUUUCAACAACAAUCUAUGACAAAGAUGAUGAAAGAAAAGUAUGAACAAGUAGCACAAAAGCAAAAUGGGCUAGAAUACUUAAUAGUGUCAAAGUUUCAAAGCACUAACACGAGAGUUUAAACCGUAACCUUAAGUAGUUCAACAAUUAUAUAUUUUUGUCGAUAGAAAUAAGCAUUCGACCUGAAAUAAGACAUACACAUAAUUUGGAAUCUCUCAAAGGCUUUUAUCUUCCAACAUGGAAUUAAGGAAUCAUGAGGUGACUGCAUGCAAAGUGCUCCUUAAAUGCAUCAAAACAUCAAUAACAAAACAAUUCAAAAAGAAAACCACUCAUUUUAUUUCGUGUUCAUGUAUGUGCUAUUGUGGUUUAUUUUAAUUUUAAAGGAAAACAACGUUUCUCAAGAGUUUAAUAGUAAGAAAUGGAGAGAACCCUAGAGUUAAAUAUUACUCUAAAUAAAACUUCAAACCUCUCACAACUUUGUCCUUGAAGUUCUUUUGUUAUCAGCAGAUCAAAUGCCUUAAAAUAGGACACCCACCUUAGAUUGCCAAAAGCAUCUUUCACUUACCAAAUUAAACCAAUUGCCUCACAUUUGAAAGAAGAAACCAACAAAUAAUCUUAUUACUCCAACAAAUAAAACAUAUAAACAGUUUGUCCCAUUCAAAUUGUGGAAUCUAAGAUCAAGUAGAAGAUAACAAGAUUCAAUCAUUGUAUUUUUUAUAGACAAUUUAUCACAUAAACAUGAAGUGGCAUACUGUAUUGCUAGCAAGUCUGCUGAAAAUAGAUAAGGAAGAACGAAAAAUAAGUAUAUAAUAUUUCAAAAUGCAACAGUCUAACCUUCAAUGACUUGGAGAAUCAUACUGAAAAUGUCGUUUUUUCUUUUCUUUUUUUUUGAAUAAUAAACUAUAUAGUGGCAAUCAUAAUGCAAACAUUAAAACUGAGAAAUGCAAUGACUUCAACGAUCCAUUUUCUUAAACCUUUCAAUUUAUAACUUUUACAAUCAACCGAUUUCAAAAAAUGAAAGUUGUAAAAUAUUUGAGUAACAAUAAGUUAAUAAGAUAUAAAACCAACAAUUUUCCAAUUAAAUUAGUGAUGAAAAUUACUACGCAUUUAUUACAAAUUUGACAAAAGAAUUCAAGUUGAGAUAUGUAUUUGUUUCAAAAAUCAUGAUGCACAACACAACUAUCAUACUCAUAUUUUUAUCUUUUUAUAUAUUAUAAAGUAAUGAUUAAAGAGCAAUUAUGAUUAAUAAUGGACAAAGGUGUACAAAUUCAUAUAACCAAUUAUGUAUGCGACUAAAAUAAGUAAUCAUUAUACUUAAUUGAAUACUUAAUUUUAUACUUAUAAAAGUAUGCAUAGUUUAUUAAUAACUAUAACGUGCUUACUACCUACUCUCAUUAUUAUAAAAUUAAUAGUAACAAAUUCAUCUAAUUAGUUUCCUCUAACUCUCAAUUUAGCCUUUCCAUGUGUCAAUCUUUUUAAUAACAUCUACAAAUAAUUCAGAAACUCAACACUUUUAUUUUAGGUUGGGUACCUUAACACUUUACACUUCCCAAUUUGUGUAAAAUGUGUUGAACGGAUCCAAAAAAUUUAUAUAAAGUAUAGUAUAUACACUAACAAACGUUAAAAUAUAUAUAUCUAACGUUUUAAUAAUAUUUACAACAUUUGUAACAAUUCUUAACCCUGAUUAAGCAUAGGUUAAUUAAUGGAAGCUUUGUAGGCAUAAGUUAAAAACAAAAUAAUGAUUGAAAAGAUGUGUUUAAUCCCAAGAUGACAACUGUCCAAAUUCCCAAAAUUCAUGCGUCAUCAUACACACCUUUCUUUCUUUCUUCAAAACAACCUGUAAUUUCUCUGCUUGCCCACGCGUCCUAUUUCCAUUCGCUCUUCGUCUGCCUAAUAAUUUUAUUUGAUAAAGUGGGACCCAAUAAUAACAUGUGAAAUCCCCACUUUGCAAUCUACGCUUACGUUUCCUCUCUUCAACAUUUUCGGUGCAGUUGGUAAUUUUCACACCGCCUCCCCUUUCAAACUUUCAAACUUUCAAACGACGACGUUAGAGUAGCGGAAACCCCAAGCCCCAAAUUUGUGGUGGAAUUUUGGACGGUGGGUGAUCCACCCAUCUAACCAAAAUGAGCUGUCUCUCACCCAAUGGCCAGCUUUGUAAUUCCGCCAUCUCCUCCACUCCUUUCUUUCUCUCCUCUCUCUCUCUAUUAUAUAAACACUCCCACCUUUCUCUUUCUCCGCUGCCAAACCUUCCAUUCCUUUUUCUCACUUACUAUUCUUUCUUUCUUUCUUUCUUUCAAAACCCUACUUUCUUCUCUCUCUUUUUUUUGGAAGCUACCAAUGGCCGCCGUCUCUAAGGUUUCUUUCAUGGCUCUUGUUGCCGUUUUGUUCGCCGUCCUCUCCGUUGCUGUUGCACAAUCUGCAGAGUCUCCUGCUCCCCCUCCGGCUUCUCCGGCUAACUCUGUCGUUCCUUCCUUGAGCUUUGCUUGUGUUGGUGCUUUCCUUGCUCUUCUCUUUGGAUCUGCACUCAAGGCUUGAAUCUCACAUUCAUGAUACUUCUUCCUACGCGUUUUGUGAUUUUACCCAUGGAUUCGGUUACUGAUGAUACUCCAUUAUUGAGGGUUUUAUUGACUAUAUUAUUGAGUGUAUAGGACAUGGUUUUCGACGAUGUCAAGAUUUAGCUUUUAUUAGAUAUUGGUGGUUUGUAUUCAUGUAUUAUUAUCAUUAUUAUUAUUCAUUGUGUGUUAUUUCUCAUUAUUAAUAUUGUUCUUUUUAUAUCUCCACAUUAUUUGAGUAAAUAAAUUAUUUCAGUUUUCUAAACUCUCUGUUUCGUGAGAUUGAUUGAUCAACAUCUCUAUUCUCUCUUCACUCCAAAUUGUUUAUAAACUGUAUCAAUACUUGUGUAUAAUCGGGAAGCGGAAAUGAAGCUAGAGAGAUUCCGUCUUCACUUCCUAAACCAUUCCGUCCAAACAAGAUUUUAACUUCACAGUUCAAAAUUUGAAAUUCCAACAAAAACAACCAUCGGGAUGGCUGUGUUUGGUAAUACUAGAAAUAUGUGUAUCAUUUAUCUUCUUCGUAUUAUUAAAUAUUAUAGAGGUGUGAGGUGUAAUUAGCGUCAUAAUUAAACUACUAAUGAUGAAUGGAGUCCAAAUCCACCAUCGUCAAAACUAGAAUUAAAUGCCUCAAUUAGUGAAAGGUGAUGGGUUUUGUCUGGUAUACUCUCAUUGUCAUCUCAUUUCAAAUGGCUCUCUCAUUUAGGUUAUCAAAGAUAUAAUAACAAAGGAAAAAACUUGUAAAUUAAUGGUGGCUUGGUUAGAGAAACACCAUCCAUAGUUGAUUCAGACUCCAACGCACAUAAGGUGGUGAAAUUAAGGGAGAAUAGAGGAUGGAAGAAUUUGUGAGAAAAGAAAGGGUGCGUGGCGAAGUGUAAAUGGUGGAGAGGGACGGCCUGGCCAUGUGGGUAUAGGGAUACGCAAUAUCUCGUGUGAGAGAAGUAUCCAACUAAAUGAUGCCACGUAUCAGUGAUAUUUUAAAAGAAUCACGCGGUUUGUCUGAGAGCAUAAUACCCAAAUUAGGGUGUGUGAAUACGAACAUGAACAUGAACAUGAUCAACAAUAAUAAUAUAAUAGAUCUUAUGGGUUUGUGCAAUCCACGCCUAUGAGAUUAUUAUAUUUGUAUCUUUUCCAAUUUUCGAGAACUCCAUUCUCCAUUCUUUUUUUUUUCUUUUUUUUUCUUUUUAAUUUUUUAAAAUUUUUCGUAUGUAUCUUUCUUUUUGUGCGAUUUUGAACCAUCGUCUUUGACUUCAACAUAAUGCAUUAGUAAAGACAAAUAUAUGGUUUUGAGAAUGUGACUCUCCAAUUUUGGAAUUCUUUUGCUAAUACUGAAUGUUGCUGUUAAUAUGUAUUGAUGUAAAGUCCCAAGUGUUUAUUUUUCCAUGACAGUGCUGAAAUUAACAUAACUUAAUUCUCAUCUUGAGUGAUACAAUAUUACAAUAUUAAAUUAAUUUAAGAUAAUUGAAAUAGUGUUUGUAGUAUUGGUAUGGUAGAAAGAAAAAACCUUUGAAAUUAAACAAUUCAACUGGUUCUUUUUUCUUUAAAGACAGGUCAGGUCAGACUGUUCUCAAACUUUUCUUGAAUUUGAUUCCAAAACCUCAAUGACCAAUUCAGAAUUGAGAAUCCAUUGGAAAAAUUUGCUAUCAGAGUACCCACUCAACCAAUCUCCCACCCCUCACCCAAACUUCUUCCAAAAAACAAAGGAUAAAGGGAGAUUCAUCACAUUAUCGAAAACCCCCAGAUAUCUUCAAACUCCACUCUUCUCUAUCUUCAAAUUUCGAAAGUAAAAAAAAACCAUGUUUGUUAGAUUAUCUUAUUUAAUUUGCAUAUUACCCUGACCUCCCCCCUCCCCAUAAAAACCGUGAAAACAAACAGCAUUUUCAAGAGGAUGAAUGAAAUAGAAUGAAUAAAUAAAUCAAGAGAGGAAAGGAACAAAGAAAAAAAAUUGCCUACUUUCUCUGCUCUGCCCCUUCAAUCUACUAACCAUUUUUUAAAAAAAGGGAAUCCAUAGAGUUUGUACAUUUUAUGGUGAAUCCUCACUCAUUUCACUCUGAAUCCGACUCCAUGUUACCCAUUGCCUUCAAUCCUCUCGGUCUCUGCCAUCAAAUUUAUAAUCAAACCAUUAAUCACAACUCUCCAUUGAUUAACACAUUCAUCGAUUUCAUAUCAUUAGCUCGAGAUACUCACCUUCUUAGAAAUCUUCUUUUCCCGAACUUCAUACCGCUCGAGAGUCAGAUCUGAUAGCCAUGCCCCCGGACUCACCAGCUGCAGCAAACCAUUUCAAAAUGUUCAAACCCCAUGGAAUAAAGCAAAAGGCACCCAUAUUCAACAAUAUACAAUGCAUAAUCAGGUGAGGUAAUAAUUGUUAGGAGGUGGGUAUUCAUCAGCCAACAGCUUUGGGGCCCAAUCUAAAAAAAGCACUUUCUUUACAAAAAGAGCUAAGGGUCCCAUUUGUCACUGAUAACAUACCAAUCACCACCCUACACAUGGCUGAGCAUCAAAUGGCAUCCGAUGCAACCUCCCUUUCUAAUCGUACCAUCUCUCUUUAUUGUUCUCUUAAUUACAAUUCAUACCGUUUAACUAAUCCCACACCCUCCUCCCCCAAGUAAUUACUCUACUAAACCCCUUUUUAAAAUUUCAACACUUAUUUGUUUUAAGCCUAAUUUAAAAACAUUUAUAUAGCUAAUGAGUUUACUUUACUAUUUGAUACUGUACCGAAGUCAUCGAACAAACCUUAUCUUUAUUCUUUAAACAAGGACUUGGUUUAACUUCCUUAGUCGGUUUCAGAUUUUUUUUUUUUGUAUCAUCUUCCAUUUUCACUUUAAGUAAAGAAAACCCCUAAAGGAAUUUAUUUGUUUAUUAACUUUUUUGUUUCUAACCCUAGAAAAUUAUAGGUUUGAGAAUGCCGAGAAGACAAGGGAGUAUGAUACAAACAGCACAGCAGCCAACCUGCAAAAAAUAACCGUACACCGUGUCCUAUCCUAUACAAGAACGUGAAUCAAACGCAGCCCGUGAAAGCUGCAGUGUUGUUUUCUUAUAUGAAUAAAUUUAUUUAUUUUCUCAUAAUUUUUAUGUUAAAAAUAAAAAUAAAUAAAUAAACCCUUUUGAAAAUUUCCUAUGGCUACACAAAAAGAUAAAUGAAUUAAUAGUUAAAAGAGGAUGAGAUUAAGGGGGGGUGGGGGGCUUACGUUGACGGUGCGUUGGAUAAUCUUGGCACGUUUCUUGGGUCUUUGUGGCAAUUUAGAGCCUUUGAUGGCUAAGAAAUCCUCUUCUUUCUCUUUGUUCGUCAAAGCAAUAGCGAAUUUUGGCGGCCAUACUUGAGGCAGAGCAGCUUCCCCACUCCCACCGGAGGAAGACCCACCUUUUUUACUAUCGUGCGCCGUCUCCGAUGUAGUCCCCGAUUUAUUGUUAUUCUCAUUGUGAUGAUGAUGAUGGCUGUUGUUAUUGUUGUUGGAAUGAUGAUGGUGGUUAUUACUUCCUCCUCUUCUAUCGUGCGCCACUCUGUCUGGCGACGCAAUUCCCCUAACCCCACCGUUGCCGUGCCCUCUCAUCGCCCCCGCCGUCUCGGAGUUCCUAUUUAUUAAAAACAAAAAAACAAAAAACAAAAAACAAAAACAAAAAAAAAAGGAAAAGACGUUUUUAUGUAAGAGUAAUAUGAAAAUAAAUAAAUAAAAGUAGUAAAAAGAAACUAGAUUUAGAGAGGAAGGAAGUCAAAUUCCGAAAUUGACCUUUGAGGGGAAGGAUCUUUAAGAUCGGUGAGACAAGUAUAGCGAAUGUGGGGGAGAUGGUGAUUUUUGGGUUUCCCUUUGGAUUUGGUUUUUCUUCAAUUUUCUUUUCUCUUUUAAUUUCAAAAUAAUAUCAAAUAAAAAGUAAGAACAUAGAUGUGGGUUGUUCAUAGCCGUCCGAUUAACAUAAUUCCCUUCACCAUCGUUAAGAUUACGUGUGACGACGACGUGAAGGUCUAUUGUGACUGUACACACUCGUGGGUCCACCACACACUCUUUUCCCUAAUCCCAAAUUAGUGAUCACACGGCUCUCAUUCCUCCACACAAAAAAGCUUAUCACUAAAAUCAUUUCCAUUAUUCACAAUCAUGUGCUUAAGAUUAACAUCUUAACAUCGUCAUCGUCAUACCAUAAAAUUUAAAAUUUGGAAUAAAUACCUGAGAAUGCGGUGGUGAGGAGGGGGCAGUUGAGGAGAAGAUGGUCGUUGGCGGAGAUUCAGAUACCCAUUGGCAGGAGGACCAUGGGUCCGGUUCGGGGAGUCUUUAUCGGUUCUAACGACUCGGCGGUCGACUCGGGCGGUGGUGGUACGGUGAGCCGGAGUGGCGGGGUCGGUUUUAUCUCUGCCUUGGACCUUCAUGCAUCUAAGGCGCUUCCGGUUUCCCCACUGCAAAACAAAGUCCGAUGAUGGUGUGGUUGUUUGUCUUGUAGCAUCGGAAUUGGAUCUCAGUACGUCCACUCCGCUUCUCCCCGAUGUGUCCACUUUGUUAUUGGCGGUGCCGUUGCUAUUAUUAUUAUUAUUGGUUCUUAUGGUAUCCCUUUCCAUCAGGCUUUUAAAUAUAACUGUAAUGUGGAAUGGACGGCUAACCCAAGUUAGUUGAGGUAAUCAACCAUGGUUAAAUCUCCAUAAAGUAAAACAAAGAAAGAGGGAAAAUGGAGGAAUUGUGUUGGAUUUUGCAAUCAACCCCCCACAUGGCCUAAUUAGCGAAAACAGGUAAACAAAGAUGAACCUUCUCCAGCUAUUUCCGAGUUCAGAUAAACUCAUAAUCGCGAGAGCUUGUGAGGGAUUUAAUUAUGCAAGAUCAAGGUCAGAAAAAACUUUUCAUUACAAGAAGGAAAAUGAGGAGGUUUUUUCUUUUCGAUUUGAUAUUAGAUCUAAACCCAGAAAUCCAAUGAUAGGUAAUGCAUUCACAAAAUCAAAAAAGAUAAGAGCAUCUGGGAAAAUUCGUCUGCUGAUUGCGAAUCUGAACAACAAAUCAAACUCGCAUCUUUCCAUCAUAGAAAGAAAUCCAAUUGAGAGGAAAAUCCUGUCCGUGAACAUUUUUGGAGAUGGAAAUUUCUGAAGCCAUACACAGAGGAAAGGUUUUCAUUUUCUCCAUCAACAUAUGAAUUUUAAAAAUUUAAUAAAAACUCUCUGAUUCUUCGAAAUGAAGAAGAGAUGAACAAUGGAAGGAGUAGGAUAGUCUCUUUAGAGAGAGUAGAAAAUGGAGGUGAAUAAAAUUUGAUGCAUUACCUGAAAAACCUGAACUGAAGCAAACAAAAACCAGUGCGCAAAAUCAAAAGGGAAGCGUAGGAAGGCGACUGAUGCCAUGAGAUGAAGAAUAACGAAGAAUCAAAAUAAUCCCCUCUGCCCCAAACCACCGAAUGGAGGAAAAAACGAAAGAAGCCACAGUACAAAAAACAACUGCACAUCAAACUCUCGAACUAAAUCUCAAAAACCCAGUUGAAUAUAUACGAUCUACGAUUCAGGAUAAUUUUCUUUACCUGUGAUUCAAAGAAAUUCCCAACCAGAUGGUCGCUUCUUUUACUCUUCAGACUAAGCGAAAAUGCGAAUCAGAAACCAAAUUGCAACGACGGAGUUCCAUCGCUCAGAGUUCUCUUCUUCGACUAUCGAACAACAGCCCUGUUUCCACCAUCUCCAAUCUUUCCAACAGUUUGGAUUUUCUUCAGACAAACUAAAAAAUCCGUUUAAAAAAAUGCAUCUGAAAUGAACAAACAGAUUACAGAAAAUCAAUAAACGGAGUCAUUCCACAACCAAAAACACAAAUAACUAACAACCCAGUGAAAGGAAUUUCUCACAAAUUUGCAAGCCUCUGUAAACUUCAAGACGUCCCCCAGAUGAUUACAAAUGAAAAGGAAUCGAUUGGGUAAAUAAGAGAGCAAAAUUCGCUUGUAAAUCAAAUCCACUCCGAAUUUGUUCAACUAGAAAUUCCCAAAUGUAUUCGUGAAAAAACAAAAACAAAAACAGUCACGCCUGUUUAAUUAUUUCUUUAAACAGAUCAAUUCCAAAAGACGGAGAAAAAUUGAAGCAAGGAGCGAAAUUGUUCGACCCACAAGCUUGUUUACAAAUGAGAGAUCCUCAGCAUUCCAGACUAGAAUUGAGAACACUAAACUUCGUUCCGAUUAGAGAACAAUAACAAGGAAAAAACAAAACAGAAGAGAAUUUGAAAGAACGCCAGAAGAACUGGAGAGAGCUUUCUUCUUCCUUCUCCUUCUCCUUCUCCUUCUUCUUCUUCUUCGUUUCUUGUUCUUCUUCUUCGUCCCUCCUUUUCAACAAAUACAAAACACACCCUAUGAAACGGAAUUUUAUACCCUCAUUACAGAUUGAAUCGCACACUUGCUUUCUCCGCCGUUCAUCAUACAUCAAACGACUAUCCUUUCAUCUCACCAUCCUUCUCUCUCAGUGCCCGCGUUACGGCGUCGUAUCAUGUUUUGGUUUUCCUAACCCUUUUUUGUUUUCCUUUCUCACGGCCUUUAUUGACGUCAAACGGAAUCUUCAACGCCGUCAAGUUUUUUAUUAUUAUUUUCGCGGGGGGGAAAUUAAAUGUGGUUUCCUUUGUUUCGGUUGGGUGCGACGGCCCAUUUGGGUGAGACCAAUGGGUUGGGUUUGGGUCCGCUUUCGAACGUUAACCGUGGUUAAUUAUGUAACCACGGUGGAUGAGUGAAAAAGGAGAUGGUAUCCACUGUGACCCUCCCUAUUAUCCUAUCUAUGUGCUGGAGAUAUCUAUUUAAGAUUUAACAUAUUUUCCUAUUUAAAUUCAAUUUCUUUACCUUUUCUUUUUCUUAAUUUCUAAUUUUAAAAAAAUUACAAGAUGUUUACUGCAAUAUGUGGAGAAGUAGUAGUUUAUAAACUUCAACAAUAUUGGCUUACUUUGGUUUUUACUAUUUUAUUAUUAUUGGUAUUCUAAAUUCAAAUAGAAAAUAUCUGUUUCACCAACUCUAACAAAAAUGUAUUGGAUUUUAAGUUACAUUGUUCUUUACUAUUAAUUUAGUCAUUUUGUGUAUAUACCAAUAUUCGAAACUAGGAGUAGAAACGUUGAUCCAAGGUCUUUUUCUUUUUUUUUUUCAUUAGAAGAAGCUUGCAAUAUUAAAAUAGGUUUUUAUAUUAUAUAGUAAUACUUACGUGCAUUUAUCUUCACCAUUCACAUAUGAAACAUAUUCAAAUAUUCUAUAAAUAAAUAAAUAAAAUCAAACCGUAUUGUAACGAGUUAUUAUUUUACAAUUUGAUGAGAUGCAUAAAGAUAGGUGAUGCUCAAGAUGCGCCCAAAUAUAUAUAUAUCUUUUAUAUACACAAUUUUCUUAUUUUAAAUUUUGGCAUGAUCCAUAGGACAAGUUGUAUGUUGAAAAAUGUUUAGCUUGACCCGGAAAAAAAUUUCUUCCAAAAAGUCAUUUAUUUUUAAGCAUUACAUAUAUAUAUAUAUAUAUAUAUAUAUAUAUAUAUAUAUAUAUAUAUAUAUAAAAAAAAAGAAUGGUGAUGUCUUUAGUUACAUUUUCUCAAAAUAGUAUUUUUAUACCAAGCUUUUUUUAAAAUUUAUUGUACACUUAAAAUAAUAAUGUGAAAGAAGACUAAAUAUUGAAGACUAUGAAUUGGACACUUAAAUGAGUUAGGAAGUUUAAAGUAACUCUUACCUCCAUUUUCUUUAACAUAUUUGGUGGUCGUAUUUAAAAAUAUUAUAUAGACUAAAGUUUCACAUUUUAAAAUCUUUUAAAUGAAUUUUUUAUAUAUAUAAAAAAAAAAGUUAUAAUUUUUAACUAUUUAGUUUACUAUCUUACUUCAUGUUUAUUAUGAUUGUCUCAUUUUCAUAAUUGAAAAACAUAUAUCAUUUGAUUAAUUAUAUUUAAAUUAAAAUGAGUCAACAAAUUAUGUCUUUUUAACAAGAAUGACGUAACGUUAUAUUUUAAUUCAAAAACAUUUACGAAAAAAUGUGAUAAUGAAUUAAUUCAUCUUUUUUUUAGAAAUGUUUGUACGAUUUGGCUUAUUUUGAUUUGCUUUGGAUCUUUGUUGGAGUUUAAAGCAUGCUUGUAGUUUUUGAAGAUUGUAAUUUUAAGUCACGGUUGGUGCAUCCAUGGAGAGGCAUUUUUUCUUUUGUUUAGGAUAGUUAAUGUUUUUUUUUUAUUAGUAACGAGUGAUAUUGUUUGAUUUUGAUAUGUAACAUUGGUUCUAAUUGCUUGGGGUUGGUAUUGAGGAAACCCUAAAGGGCUAUUCUCUAUUUAGACUUUGUCUUCAUUUAUAUGUACUUUAUUUUUUUUGGUAAAUUUUUUUACAUUAUUCAUUUUUCCUUUAUGUCUUGUUGAUUUGUGUCUUAGCUUUAAGGUCAUUUUUCCUUUUCAGCAGUCCAAUACAAUUGGAGGAAAAAAAUUAGAUAAAAGAGAUAAAUUUUGUCUUAUAUCUCAUUUCUAUCUUUUUUUUUUUUCUUUAUUUUGUUUCAAGAGUUAUACCAAGACUGUGGUAGAUAUUUGAAUUUCGACAUAUUGGUUGACUUAGUUGACUCAAGGAACAAUUUGUUGCGCGAGUACACGAUGCUUGAUAUAUUACUCAAUUUUGACAUCAACAUUUCAUCUCAAAUCACUUAGAAUCACACAUCAACAAUAUACAUAUGUCUUAAUUGAAUUGAACUAUGUUAUCGAUGAAAUUGUUUUUAGCAUUUAAGUAUAUAUUUUUAUUUUUUUAGUAUAAUAGCUUCAAAAUAGAAUAGUAUUUCUCACUUUACUAUUUAAUUGCUACAACUUUAAUUAGUAUCUUAAAUUCUCCUCUUUAUAUUACAUUAUAGAAUGUUUACUAUUUUAUCAAAUUAAAAUUAUUUUACACUACAAAUACAUGUUAUUAAUUAUAAUCCAAAGUAAAAUGAUUCACACCUCAAAUUACAAACUAUCAUAGCUCAACUAUAAUAACUUAAGAUGAUAACAAUCUCCCUUGCUCCAAACACUCCAAAAAUAUUAUAAGAAGAUUAUAGGUAGUUUAGAAAUUCUAGAAGGAGAUUAUCAACCAUGUAUAAUACUCAUAUUUAUAAUUGAUGAGGAUGAGAUCUCAACCGUCCAAAGUUUGUUGUCAUUUUUCUAUUAAUUCGACAUCACCAAUCCAUCCCAUUUAGCUUGUCAUGUGAGGAUUUUUUUUUUGUGUGAGUAAUGAGAAAAAGAUGUACAAAGAUGAUUAUUGUUUCGAGUGCACCAAAGAUCAAGUAUUACUUUUCCUCUAACAAGAGUAUAUUAAUUUAAACUAUCCGUACUAACGAUUUACAUCCUCUCAAAAUCACUAAAUUUUCUUCCUAAACCAACCAAUUCAAACAUUUGAUUAUAACAACUUUCAACAUCCUAGCAUGUAUUACAAUUAGAAGAUAUGAAAGUUUAGAAUAUUAUAUCAGUAAUCAUUAUGUAUUUAUAUUUUCCUUAAUUCUUCCAUAUUUCUCCCUCACAUACAUCAAAUUUUGCUAUGCUUCUUUCUAACUUUGUUUUAUGAUAUAACUUUCUGACCCAAAAUAUAUAUUUACUACAAACAAAAUCAAUUUUAUUUCAACAUCUUUCCCUAAUAACAGCCGGUAGCCUUGAACUACUACUUCCCGGCCACAGUCAUGGCCUGACCGACGACGGAGAAAAUGGCAAAAUGACAUUAUUAAUCACUUUAGUUUGGUGUUCAUUGUUUUGGGGUUUGUAAGAAGUGGCAAACGACGGUGCAGUCGUCUUGUUUUGAAGAAGGCCAGCGUUUCCAAGCCUCUGUCGCCGCAUCCACCACCGCUUUCGCCGCCGCUUCUUCACUCUCCGCCGCCCAAACGAUGGACGCUACUUCGUCGUUGCUCAGCACAUCCCAUAUCUGAGAAUAAUCGAAAAACCCCACAUCUCAAAAUUACUAAAUUUGCUAAUUAAUUUGAUUUUUUUUAAAAUCUACGGAAUGAAAUAUGUUUCUCUCUUUUUCUUGCUUUAAAUGAAUAAAGUAGUUAUUUAUUGCAUUUAAAAAUCAAAGUCAACAAUUUUUUUGAACAUAAUAGGAGAUGAAGUAAAUUAAAACCAUGGGAAUCUUGGAGAACUAUCGAAAAAAAAAAGAAAAGAGAAGAGAGGAUUACCCCAUCAGUGGCGAGAACGAUGAAGCGAUCGAGAGAAGUGAGAGGGCGGAAGGAGACAUCAGGGAGAUUAAUAAUGCCAUAAUCUUUAAGAGCAAAAUCACCAAAAGCUCUUGACAUAGCCAGCCCCGGUGAGUCUUCGUUGGGGAGCCACACUCUUUGUAUAUGAGCUUCGUCUUUCAGCGCCAAGACUCUCCCUUUACAUCUUCUUAUUCGCUCACCCUCACUCUCCAAUCCAGGCUUUAAAUCUGUAGUUAACUGAACGGCUUUGAUUCCUCCAUCCUCCCUCAUCCUCCCCAUCACCGCCCUUGAAUCUCCCAAAUUCCCAAUCACCAAAUAAUCUUCCUGUUUUCAACAUAUCAUUCAUUAUCAUCUCCCCUUUAAUUUGUUUUUUAAAAAACGAGAAGAAGAAAAGAAAAAAAAUGAAAACAUUAUUAUGUAACAGGAUCUUAAUCAUUACCUGUUUGACCAUAACAACAGCGGUUGAUCCACUGCAAGAGCCAUCCAAAUUCUCUUGGAGUUUGAUCUCUUUAUCCAUAACCUUGAAGGAAGUUUCAAAAGCUUCUUUCCAUGCAUUGAAACUCUUCCUCUUCACCAAGCUUGACUUAGCAGUUACCUCCCCAAGCAAUAAUGAAGGCAAUCUAUUCUUCACUAAAUUGCUCACAAUAUGACCAUUUGGUCCAUGCCCAUCAAAAACUCCAAACAAAUCACUCUCUUCAACUUCUCCAUACUCCUAAUUCACAAAACAAACACACAAAUUUAAUAAUUCUAAAUACGUAAUAAUUAAAACAAACAAAUCUAAUUAAAUUACCUGAUAUGCAAAAGCAGCAUCUUGAUUGAUUCCUUUGCUGCCUUGCUUAGAACAAAUGGAUUCGAGUUUCUGAAUCCCGCAAACAGAAUAACAUGACUUAUAAUGAUCUUCUUCAAUAAUAAUACUUCCAACUUUGUUAGUUUCAUGGCGAAUCUGAGAAGAUGCAGAGGAUAUACAGAUUCCCAUUGUCAAAGGUGUGUGAGGAGGGGAAGUUUGAAGAAAUGACAAUGUCCUUUGCCUUUAAAUCAAUAAAUUGAAUGGGUCCUACAUGGGCAGAUUAGCAAAUUAAUCAGUUAUAUUAUAUAGUUUUAGCAGCUGCCCGUUGACUCAGAAUCAUUCACUUGCCUUUGAGUAAUUCAUAAUUUAUAAUGGAACCAACAAAGAAUAUACAAACUUUGGCCAUCUCAACACUCUACCCAAUAGGCAAUAACCCACAAACCAAAAUAGAUCAUAGAGAAGAAAAAUCUUAAAUCUUUGGCUGUUUAUUAAAAAAAAAAAAACACCCUUCUUGGUAAUAAUUAAAAAGUAACUAUAUAUCAUCCUCAACUUUUUACAAACAAGAAAUUCGUUACGAGUUUGGAUGAAAUUUCAAAUGUAGAAUAAAGAGGUAGUGAGAUAAUUUAACAUGGUUGUGAUGAAGUUGGAAAAAACCUUCACUACUAACAAUAUAAACAAAUAUUUCCUUGAUUCUUAUAAGAGAAUUCUCCAAUAACAUUAUAUCACUAAUCCCCAUAGUUAGUUUAAUAAACUUAAAAUACUAAAAUCGGUUUUGAACUUUUUUAACAUGGAGAACUACACUUCUAAUAAUUUGUCAACUCCAACGCUACGUUAUUAUAGGAUUGUGGUUUUAGUUUCCGAGUCUCCUUCAACAUUUUUAUGAAUUUAUAUCGUAAUGUAUUUUUCAACCCAUUAAAAAAAGGUUUUUCUAAAAAAUUCAUGAUAAAAAUUAGUUUUUUUUCUUGUUUGCAAUUUAAUAACAAGGAAAAUCCAUAUGCUGAGUAGUUGUAGAGUCUGAAGCGAUGAAUGGUUGACCAAGCAAACAAAUUAUUGUUAUUAUUAAUAUUACUUUUAGCUUCUUCUUCUUUUUAAUUUUAAUUUUGGGAGAGAAACUUAAAAAGUAGGGAAUGGAAUUUCUUGUGGAGAAGAGUGAUUGUGGGAGAGACGAAGGGCCAAUUUUAAUCAAUAGUAAAAUAAUUUCCAAUUAAUACAUGAAUUAAUUAUCAUUAAUCAAAUAUUAGUUAUUAUAAACACAUUGCAAAUUAAAUUAAGUAAAGUUCGAAAAAGGGACCCACCAGGCACCUGCUUGGAUAAAGGAGAACCGUCGGAUGAAGAUGGUGAUUAGAAUCUCUUGAAAUUGGAGAUGACGUGGAUCCAUUGUCAAAUACUAUUGGAAAUUCCACCAAAGUAUGAGGAUGGGGUUCCGGGUCCCACCUUCCCACUACAAUGGAUCUCAUCUCAUCUUACGUCACCAUUUUAAAAAAAAAUUAAUUAUUCAUUAUACUUUUUUAUUUCCUUUAAUUGAAUCUCACAGAAGGUAAAUUUGGUUAAAAUCUUUUCAAUCAUUUUUUGGAUAAACAUUGGAUCUCUUAUUUAUUUUCAACCAUUUUUGUUUGUUUUUAAUUUGUUUUUGUUUUUAGAUUUGAUGCCCUUCCAAAUAUUUUACCAUAGUAUUGGUCGGUGAAACUCGGGCCUUGAUCGUUUUUUGGUCCGUUCCUUUCGCAGUGUUGGAACUAACGAGCGUUUUUUGGUCCGUUCCUUUCGCAGCGUUGGAACUAACGUACGCAAAAAUGUUUGUAAUAGAGUAGUGUUGCGUUGAGCAUAUUUUGAAUUUGAUGUUUAAGUUAAUAUAAAAAGAGUUACUUAGCUUAGCUAAGCACAUGAAGAGUUACUUAUAUGCUAUAUCGACGAUGUCAAAGUGGGUAUGACUUUCAAGAUUGUAGAAUGCCAACGAGCAAAGACAAAAGUGUUUGUCAACUUGAAAUUGUAAGAAACGUUUUCCAAGUAAGAACUUAAAAUUGUAAGAAACAAAUCCACGGUUCAAAAAUUAAAUAAAAUUUAUUAAAAAAGAUCUAAACUUUUAAAUUUAUUAUGUUUUAAAGUUUAAGGACUUAAAAUAGACAUUUAAAAUUUAAAACUAAAACGAAAAAUUAAUACAACCUCCAAAGUAAAAAAAUUUAUAAGGUUAAAAUAGGGAUAUGGCCAAUAUGAUUUAUAAUAAGAAGCGUGGUAAUUUUGUAUCUAUCAAAAUCGUAAUCAAAACAUAAAUUAAUUAUAAUUAGAGACGGAGGUGGUUAUAAUUAUAACUUAUAAGGAGAUUAACUUUAUGUUCAUGUGAAAGGGCAAUGGUGUAGCUUUUGGGAUUAUCAGAGAGCUUUUCUUUUUCUUCUUCCUAUCUGGUUGAAGGUUGAUCACAUUACACGAAGAGAUGUCCCCAAAUUCAAAAGUUGACUUAUAUCAAUAAAUUUUGUAAUAAUAUUUCUAUCAUUUUCAGGAAAUUAUAAAACACACCAAUUAUUGAAUCAGUUUGCCAAGUGGGAAUCUAUCAAUCGUUAGAAUAAGCUUUUAGAAUCUAUAAAUCAAUACAAAAAAAUAUUCAUCUCUUUCCUGAUCUCAGCAAUGAAAGUCAACUUUUCUAAUACCCAAAUGGCACCAACAGGAAGUAAUAUGAUCCAUCAAAAUAUGACAUUUGGAGCACAUAAUCUGAACAUGACAAAGAUUCAUAUCAUACCAUAAGACCGUUGUCUCUCUCGUAGUAGACUUGAUGUUAUGUACAUUAAAAGAAAACUUAAUCUGUCGCCAGAAAAAGAUUAAAAAAAAAAUCAGUCUACAGAUGAACAAGUGAGGUACCAUUAAGCUACAACAACAUCCAUGUUUCCAUUGUCGUUUCACUGGCUUGUAACAGGGACAACUUCGUUUGGAGGGGCGGUAUCAGCGGGAGGCAAUUUCUUUGUAAGAGGCUUUGGUAUAUCGAGAUCAUCUAGCGAUAUUCGUUGCUGGGGGUGUGAUAACAACAGACACAUACAACGGUAAAGAACACGUGCAACUCCCUGGCCACUCUCGAAAAUAUAGCCUUCAUACUGGCUAACAUGAUCAAGGGCAUCAACUAAAGCAUCAUACACCUCUUGUGGGCAGUUGUCAGGUCCAGGCUUCUCAUGGAGGUAUAUAACAUCAAAAGUGAAGAGUUUUUGGUUCGCAGGCCACUGAUGUUGGGGCUGUGUCGAUGAUCUGCAAUAAAUAAGAAUCUAAAUGCAACAAAUGAUUAUGAUGCAUCCAUAUAAUCUUCCAAACAUACAUUGGAACAUUAGAGGUUCAAGGUCGGAUAAUCUAGGCUCACUCAUAGAUUCAUAUAACAGAUAAAAAUUUGAGCUGAUUUCGCAGAUUAGGACUAUAGGUAUAAUGAGAAUACCAGUCGUAGAAUUCGAUUUUGGGCGGUUGAUUUUCUUGAUUCGUGAGCAGCUAAUCGGAAAAGACUGGUAAGAUCGGCAUGAUUGCAAGGGGAAGUAGCACCAAGUCCCCUGACUGCAGCCUCUGCAGAUGCAAUAUCACUGCUAAACUCCUUUUUUAGCUUCAUUUACAAAAACUUUGGAUUAGAACCAGAUAUGUCGUUUAACAAGAAUGCUAUAAAAGAAUUAGGCUCUCCUAUGCAGAAGCUUGAAUAACAUUUCCAUCCAUUCAGAGGUUUAGCAACUUACCGUGUCAUAAAGAGUGCAAGAGUAACAGUGCAUUUAUAACUCAGUUAAAUGAACCUCAACCAAUUACUAGUUAUGCCUCCAAAAUGUUGAGUCAUGAAGAUAAUUCUUUUAGUUUAGUAAUAAGAAAAGACUGAUAAGUAAAUAUAAAGAGAAAUGAAUGACAAACAGUGAAGGGCAAGAGUGAUGGGAGCUAUAGAAGUGAAGUGACAGCCCAAUCUUUCUUGCGUGGUUAGUGCAGACAACUAAGGUUCGGUUUGGGAGGGUUCCAGAUUUGUUUUUCUGUUCAAUAGCAGUUGAUCAUAGAGUGCGGUAGUUAAGAAUUCAAGAAACAACGAUUUAAGGAGAAAUCAGCUGCAAGCAACCGGAAUCACCAUGCUCAUCUCCAAGUUCCACCGCCCAAAAAACUUCUUCAAAAGAAAAAUGACUCUAAAAGUGGAUAGUUGGAGAUAUUUCCUUCUCUUUUCCCCACAUAAAAUAUCAUCAGUAUUGUCACCCUUUCACAAUCUAAUUCUAAUACUGAAGCACAUGUUUUGUUCUGGAUCAGCACAUAUUAACAUCAUACUGACAAUAUCAAAACAAUGACUCUCAGUAAGAGUUAACAAAGUGGAAGGGAAAUUGUUAGAUCAGCACGGUCAAGUUAUAUUCUUCAAAUCAAAGAUGCAAAAUUGACAAUGGUUAGAUCAGAAAGUUUGUGGUACAAAACUUCAACUAUUAGUCGGAAAUCAGAUACUGUUUGGAUCAGCAAGUUUGUGUUAUAUCCUUCUAUUCAAAUCUGGACUAACAAGAUGAGCGAAUAACGGACCUUCUCAUUUUAUGCCCCACAGCGUGAACAAGAAAGGGGGACCUAAGAGCUUAAUCACAUUCACACAAAACAAAAUCUUAAAGUUCCCAAGCCAGAGGAGUGAUCAUUUGAGGAACAGAAUCCCUCAAUAAUCUAUUGAAUAAGAUGUUUGGAUCAGGGAAAAAAAAAGAACUCAGGUAUAAUCUCCAAUACAUGCCACAUACAAACUCAAACCUGCAGAAGAAUUUAAACUACGAGUUUCCAACCAUGGAAUAAUCCAAUAUUUCUCUACACCACAUGAAGUGUUCUAUAUGUUAAGGCAGGUAAAUAGGAAUUGAGUUCCCCAAUCUAGGUAAAUGAGUAGAAUGAUGCAGAAAAUAUAAACUCCCCUAAAAACUAAAAUUAGCCUUGAACCAAAAACAGACAGAAAUCACAGAAAUCCAGUAAUCCAAAACCUACAUUUCUGAAUGAAGAAAGCAAAAUCAACAAGAUGGGGGGAUUACCCAAAUGGCAGAUUUGGCGAUGGUGGUGAAAGCAAAUCGAUGGUCAGGAUUCAUGGAGAGUUUGGCGUGGACAAAUAGAAGAAUUGCUUGCUUAAUGGAGUCCAUUCUGGUGAUGGGUCGUCCAUUAGAGCCGGUGGUUUUGAUCUCAACGGAAGAUUCAGGGUUCACAUCUAUGCAGAAGAGAAUGUCUUCGUUGUUUAAUCUCGAUGAUUUCAGCGAGUAUCCACUUCCUCCUCUCUCAACUUCGAUUGCUUCCAUGGUUAUUCAGCGUCGAUUUUUGAAAAUUGGAAUACAAAGAUCAGCGUUUGGUGCCUUGUGGAGCUAAUUGUUUCAGAACUUAAAUUGGGGAUUUACUGUUUCCUUUUCUAUUUCGAGGGCAUGUAGAAGAAGACCAUAUUUAUAAGUAGACGGUUUUGAGCUGGAUACGAUUCCACAACACCAUUCUAUUCAGCAGUCAUAUCAACUAAAUUCUCAUUCAAAUUCCUACUUUUAUCCUUUACACAUUUUCAUCCGGCCCUAAAAACAUCAAUUUUAAACUUUAUCAACGUUUUACAUAGUGAAUUUCCAAAUUUCAUAACACAUAUUUCAAAUAACUUUUUUUUAACUCAAAU
rnacentral:lncRNA from 1 species